UGACAAACGACUGAACCCUCCUCUCUGCGCCUGAUUCCACCCACCACUCCUAGUUUAUCGUAACGCUUACCUUGGCUUACUGCAUUCGCAGUAACAGGUUGAGAGUAACAGGCUCCUUGUGGAGUGCAACGGUCGUUAUUGCGUUGGACUAGUUAACUGUAAGGUUGCAAGAAUGGAUCCCCUGAGCUGACAAGCCGAUUCUCAAGAUCAUGCACACUAAUGAGAUGCUAUGGAGCCCAAACUACUACACUGUCUGAGCAAAGGACUACAUGCUUUCUGGAAAAUUCCGCGGGCAAUAUCUGAUGUGUGGAGACAUUUCUCUGCAGCUAAUGUAGAAGGAAAAGCUGUGUACAUUUGCAAAUACUGUGCCAAAUCAUAUGUGAAGACUGCAACAAAGAUGCAGAAUCAUCUGGCCAAGUGCAUAAAGUUCCCUCAGUGCUCACAACAAGCAACCUCUGACAAAACUCCCUCUACUUCUAUUCGAGGUGAAUAUAAUGAAUCAGACAUCUUAUCGACAGCAACAGCUCAUGGUCCUCCUCGAAUCAGAAGGUUUUUUGACUCAAUGGAGGAAUGUGGUCACAGAAAUGCUGAUGAAUGUCUUGCUCGAGCUGUGUAUGCAACUGGUUCACCUCUGAUGCUCACAGGCACUGUGUAUUGAAGAGAUUUCUGAAUGUUCUACACCAA
ensembl:lncRNA